AAUAGAACAAUAUAAUUAGGUUUUUACACUUUGUUCGAUUCAAUGAGAAUAAGUGCUCGUUGCAAAGUUAUACUGUUAGGGCGAAACAGAGUAGUCUAAUUGUAAGGUACCGGACUUCUAAAAUCAUGAAGCUUAUGGUUUAUGUGAGGUUAUAAAGCCAUUCGAAUGGUUCCGGUGAAGUUCGGUGAAGUUCGGAGGCAUUCGGGCGUUUCGGUGCUCAUAGGUGCGGAAACGGGACGCGAAAGGCUAUGUUGGGCCGUGAGCUAAAUCCGGCGUUAGCGCGGAUGAAAAGAUGAGGAAAAUAUGCUCAAGAACAUGUUUGGAGAGUCUCGGUUCGAUUUGAGACGAAUCGGAGGUCAAACGAGCGAAAACGGACGAAAACGGACAAAAGUUGAAAUUUGGCUAAGUCUGGGCUGGUUGACCUGCGGGGAUGGGUCCCUCAACCAGGGACAGGUCUCUCAGGGACCGGUCCCUCACCGCAAGGACCGGUCCCCGAAUGCGAAAAACGCCCAGUUUGGGCUGAUGCGAGGUUAGAAGAGUUGGGGGGCUUAUUUGUAAAUGUUGCAAGUGUGAGAGAGGUUAAGAGAGGACUCUCUCUCUCACUUUCUCUCAUUCCCUCACUCUCUCUCUCACGUUUCUCUCUCCCUCUCUCUCUCUAAACGUAAAGAAGAAAGGAGAAGAGAAGAAGAAAGGGAAGAAGAAGAAGAAGAAGUUGGAGGAGAGGAAGUGGAUCAUCAUCACCUCCAUCUUCUUCCUCACCUUGGAGCAAGCUUUGGAGAGGUAAGCAUCUUAGCCUCUCAUGGUAGAUUUCUAUAGGUAGGUCUAAAUGCUCUAGAAGUGAAUUUAGUAGGCUCCUUUGAUGCUAGAUAGAUGUUUAUUGCAUGAAUCGGAGAUCGAUUUGGGACAUUUUGCAAUAGUAGCAUCUUGGGCAUCAAAAAUGGCGUUUUGAUAUAUAUGAGGGUUUGAUCUCUUUUAACCCUCUGGAAACCUAAUUGGUAGGUAACGAGACACGUUGGCGAAGACGGUUCGGCAAUCCGACGAGCCGUUACAAAGUUAUUAAAGAAACGGACGUUUAGGCUUCGGGUUUGCCGAGAGGGCCGAGGCGACGUCGUAAAAUCAUGGGAUUGGAUUUGGAGCACCGUCGCGUGUAACUGAAGAGAUACUGCACUUGAAACGGCGAGGUGACACGCUCUUGGAGAGCAACGGUGAGAACGGGCCCAAACGGGUGCCGGGUGCCGGGUGCCGCGGAAGGCCGAUUGCAAGUGUCGACAAGCAAUCGAAAAGCGUUAAAAGGUGGGUUGUGCUUACCGAAGCGACUAGGUCGCCUUUAUGUCUAAGAAAGACUAAGAAUCCAUGUUGAUGAUCUUAUCUGUUAGCGCAAAUGGACCUAAUGUGUUCCUUGAUCUAUGAACAUUGACAUCGAUCGUUACAAUAGUUACGCCUCGGGCAUAAUAGAAAUUAAUAAUUAGCUUUUACUCUUUGGUAUCGACUUGAACUUAGGAAAAAGUAUGCUUGCAAAUUUUAUAUGUUAGGCGUAAACAGAGUGGCUUAAUGUUGUUCGUUUUGGUUCUUAUGAACGUUGACAUUGAUUCUUUCCAAAUUUACACUAUGGGCAUAAUAAUAUAAAAUUAGGUUUUAACUUUGUUUCAUUGAAUGACGAAAAAGUGAAUUUACACUCUCGGGGCAUAAUAGAACAAUAUAAUUAGCUUUUACUGUUUGUUGAUAGAAUGAGAAAAAGCACUCGUUGCCAAUUUAAACUGUUAGAGCGCAACUGAGUAGUCUAAUGUUGUUCCGGCUUUGGUUUUUGUGAAUGUCGACAUCGAUUCGUUGCAAAUUUACACUCUCGGGGAAUAAUAGAACAAUUUAUUUAGCUUUUACUCUUUCUUCGAUAGAAUGAGAAAAAGCACUCGUUGCCAAUUUAUACUGUUAGGGCGCAACUGAGUAGUCUAAUGUUGUUUCGGCUUUGGUUUUUGUGAACGUCGACAUUGAUUCGUUGCAAAUUUACACUCUCGGGGCAUAAUAGAACAAUUUUAUUAGCUUUUACUCUUCGGUCGAUAGAAUGAGAAAAAGCACUCGUUGCAAAUUUAUACUGUUAGGGCGCAACUGAGUAGCCUAAUGUUGUUCCGGUUUGGGUUUUUAUGAAAAUUGACAUUGAUUCGUUGCAAAUUUACGCUCUCGUGGCAUAAUAGAACAAUAUAAUUAGCUUUUACUCUUUGUUCGAUUGAAUGAGAAAAAGUACUCGUUGCAAAUUUAUACUAUUAGGGUGAACUUAGUCGUCUAAUGUUGUUCCGGUUUAGGUUCUUAUGAACGUUUACAUUGAUUCGUACAAAAUUUACACUAUAGGCGCAUAAUAGAACAAUAUAACUAGGUUUUACACGUUGUUCGACUGAAUGAGAAAAAGUGCUCGUUGCAAAGUUAUACUGUUAGGGCGCAACAGAGUAGUCUAAUAUUGUUCCGGUUUUGGUUCUUUUGAACGUUGACAUCGAUUCGUUCCAAAUUUACACUCUCGGGGCAUAAUAGAGCAAUAUAAUUAGGUUUUACACGUUGUUCGAUUGAAUGAGAAAAAGUACUCGUUGCAAAGUUAUACUGUUAGGGCGCAACAGAGUAGUUUAAUGUUGUUCCGGCUUUGGUUUUUGUGAACGUCGACAUCGAUUCGUUGCAAAUUUACACUCUCGGGGCAUAAUAGAACAAUAUAAUUAGCUUUUACUCUUUGUUCGAUAGAAUGAGAAAUAGCACUCGUUGCCAAUUUAUACUGUUAGGGCGCAACUGAG
rnacentral:lncRNA from 1 species